ensembl:lncRNA
AUGACAGAAAAAAUAAAUAAUACUAUGUACAUAUUUCCAUAUUUCAUUAAUCAAGGUCAUGAAGGAGAGAAAAGACAACUUUGCGGCCAUGCCCGUCCUCAAGGAUCAUUGCCCUUCCUUGCAAGUUUGUCUUGUCCAGGAUCUCCAUCUUUGAUGGACCACAUACACAGGCUCCAUAGAUCAUCAAGUCACAUGGCUCGUAAAGGAAUCUGUGAUCGUUCUUGGAGCCGUUUUGCUGCUUGGACUAGAACAUGGUUUCCUGAUCUAACCAUCUUCUUCAGCUGGUGCAUGGAGCUCUCAAACGCAAAGGCACUGCAUUUGUCUAAUGAUCCAUAUGUGGUGGCAUCAGCAGUGAGGGUUUCUGGCAGGAUUCCCCGGAGAACAACUUUGCCAGUGUAGAGCAUAAACUGCCUGGAUUCAGUGGCCUUCCACCUCUCCAAUUCCUCCAGACUGCGUGGCUUCCUGGCAAAAAUAUGGGGUAUGUCACUUCUCAAGUUCCUUAGCCUCUGAUUGACUUCCCUCAGCUGAGCCGGCGAUAGCAGAUGCCCGACUUGCCCCAUGACCAUAGUAGGAGCAUUUUUCUCAUCACUCCCAGGCAGCACUGGUGCAUGUAGUCAGCAGGGAAAGACUUGAUCAUGACAAUUUGGAGAUUGCUGAAAGGGGACACAGCAUUUUCGUGAUGAUGUUCUGGCUGGUGUUGCUCUCUAAAUGAGACAACGUUCCUCAAAGUGAGGUCAUGGACUUGUUGGUAAGUGAUGCGCCCCUCCCAGUUGCCUUUUUGGGUGCAUUCAUCACAGCCACAGUAACCUGAGAAUUGUUUGAUGCACUUCAGCAUGGCUUUUGCUGGUGUAUCACAGGUAAUGCAUCUCAAUCUUACACUGAGUGUUGUUUCUCCCCAUGCUAAGCCAUUCAUUAGAAUCAUUUUCAGUUCAUCUGACAUUACUCUAAUGAAGUCCGGUGAUUUGGGCUUUUACCAGUGCUCUUAAAGAGUGGCAGUCCAUCUACAUUGAGGGAAAUCUCAAGCUCAGUGAUGUUUUUUGAUUCAAGCACAUGAUUAAUUGUUCAGUCACUCCUAAUGUAAUGCAUUCCACACCAGACACCAUUUGGCUUUCAACAGGAUCCGUUUUUAAUAAUGUUUUAGUAGUAGAUGGCAGGUGUUUAUGCCUGUGAUUCCUGAGAAUUUUGAGCAGUUUUUCUGCAGCUUUGUGCUUGAUAUUAUAUUCAGUGAUCCACCUCUUUAACUCUUCUUCUAAAAUUUCAGUGGGGAUAUAAAUGUUGGCAGUAUUCUGAAAAAACUCUCCAUCCAAUGAUUCUCCAGUCAUUGCAUUUUUUAGGCCUGGGUUCCAGAUUGGCAUAGUGUCCCUGGGAUUGUGUGCUUCACUGUUUAUCACAGUACUAGGACCAGCUGCGUUAAUGUGCACAUUUCUCAUUUUCCGUUGUACCCUCUGCCAAAGUCGUUUUUAUUCUCUUUUCCUAGCUUCUGCAGGCAUCCAGUUGUGUGACACAGCUAUGUGUUUUUUUUUUCUCUGCAAAAUGGGUACACGCAUGUAAUUUAAGAAAAAAACCUAAAGAUCAUAAUUUUUUAGGCAAAUAAAGCGAUCUUUCAUGCCACAUUAUUAGGUGAAAAACAUUUUAAUAUAACAUUGAACUUAUCACAUUGCUGUGAAAUCGAUCCCUUUUUCCUGACAUGUCAGCAAUAUGCUGUAAAUUUGAAAACCUUUUUUGCAAGACAAGCCUACCAUCUGAGAUGACAUCAUGGUAAUCUGUCUGUAGGGCAGGGUCUGGAAAGCACAGAAAAGAGACAAAGUGAGUUGAAAUCACAUAUACGUCGACGUGGGACAAUUUAAUUUACACUUGUUACUUCAAAGGAUACAGAUGAUAUUGGAUACAUGCCUGAAUUGUGAAUUGCUUACCCGCUUGUGCAUUAAAGUGUAAUUUCUAUAACAAUUAUUAUUAUUAUUAUUAUUAUUAUUUUAUUUUGUUUUUAUUUUGUUUGUGUGUUUUGUAUUUAUAAAUAUGGACCUUUAUUUUCACCAAAAAGGCUUAUUUCUGCUUUUUU